CCCACAUUGUUGUAUGCAGAAUGACCUCAUAACUCAUCAUAAAUGGUUAUAGAAACAAUAUUAAAUCAAAACACAAUUAAAUCAUGUGAAUCUUCCUUGAUAUCCUUCACUUUAGAGAGAGAAAAAAAAGGUUAAAUUCCUUACUAUGCAUUAUUAUUCUGUAGGAGUGGAUGUACCUUGAAGAGGAAAAGAAGUGACCAAGUUUCUUCUGUAGGCGUUGUUUGGCUUUGAAAGCAGUUUCAUCUAAGGUAGUAGUCAUUGAAGUCCAUGGUGCAUCCAAUGAUUCCUUUAGGUAAGAGUCUCUGUAGGUAGCAUAAUGUUCAUGUCUGUUGUGAUAAUGUUCUGAUCUUUUCCUUGGUGACAAUCCAACACCAGGUAGCCUACCAGCCAUUCACUCUUCUUUACCUAAGCUUAUUCUCAUCUCAAUUUAUUGCUUAGACCCACAAAAAAUAAUAAUGCAUCCAUGUUUUGAUUGAUGGUUGCGUGCUCUACUGGGACAAAUAUACAAUUUACCUCUUUGUAAAUACCAAAACUUAGAGGGGUCAAUUUUCAUGACUCUACAUGGACUUUUGCUAAUUAUUUAAAUUGUGUGAUUGAUAUUCAUGUGCACAUGACAUCAACAAUGCUUUGAUUUUGGCUUUUGGUGGGUUUGUAUGGAAGUGUAAUGUUCUAGGAUGUGGGAAAUUGGAAAUAUUUUUUUUUUUUUU
rnacentral:lncRNA from 1 species